AUACAAAGUCGUACCUGCCCAGUGAGUAUUUUAACGGCCGCGGUACUCUGACCGUGCAAAGGUAGCAUAAUCAUUUGCCUUCUAAUUAGAGGCUAGAAUGAAUGGUUUGACGUAAGUAUAACUGUCUCUGUGCAAUUUAUUAGAAUUUUAUAUAUAGGUGAAAAAGCCUUAAUUAAAUUAAUAGACAAGAAGACCCUAUUGAGCUUAAUCUUAAUUAAUAAAGUAAUUUAUACUCAAGAAUAUAUUAUUAAAUAAUUUAGUUGGGGCAACUAAGGAGUAAAAAAAGCCUCCUUUUAUAUUUAAAAAUCACUAUUAUUGAUCCAUUUUUGAUUAAAGGAAAUAGUUACCAUAGGGAUAACAGCAUUAUCUUCUUUAAGAGUUCAAAUCGAAAAGAAGGUUUGUGACCUCGAUGUUGGACCAAAAUGUCCUAAAGAUGCAGAAGUCUUUAAGGGUUGGUCUGUUCGACCAUUAAAAUUUUA
rnacentral:rRNA from 1 species